CUCAGCCAGCGCUGGCCAGUGCAAGAGGAAGAUGAAGGUGGCUGUGCUCAGCGUGGCCCUGCUCCUCUCCAUCCUGCUGUGCCUCCCGGCACAGACCGAGGCCACCUUUGAUGGCAGUGGUGGAACUCUAUGUGCCGGGGUAAGUGCUGGAGCUGGGUGCACCAGUGUGGGAACUGGGGGGCAGUUUGGUCACCCCCAGCCUUUACGAGGACUGGGGACAACCCAGUGACCGGUGACAUCUCAUGGUCUCUCCACAGGGAGUUGGUGGCUUUAGCAAUGGAAAGAUAAGCGUAGUAGGAGGCCAAGGUGGAUGCAUUGAGGUAAAGAAAGGCACCCAGCGAGUGAAGCGGUCUGAGGUGGGUACCCAGAGUUCUGCUGGGCCCAGAGCCUCCCCUGUCAUGGUCAUGACCCUCCAGGGCAUCCCAGUGCACGCCAGUACACCCCACUGUGCCUCAGUACACCCCGGCAUGCGCCAGUAUCUCCCAACAUGCCCCAGUAUCCUCCGGUGCUGCUCUAACCCCGUCUUUCUCCCCAGCCCCCCGUGGCUGAGCAGGUGGAGCUUCUGCGGGAGUGAUGCCCGGCUGCCCCACUGGAUGCCCUGGUGAGAAGUCUCGGGGGGUCUCCAGCCCCACAAAAGAUCCUCGGGGGCCAGGGCGGAUCCCUGAGCCCUCUGGGGUGGGCAGAGCUUGAGGAUGGCAGAGGGGCGUGGCAGGGGCUGUCCCUGAUCCGUGUCCCUGGGUUAGGUGGACAGAGCUGUCCCCAAGGCUUCCUUGCACUGGGGGGCUCUGGGGACACCCAGUGUCCCUGUGGGAGCAGAGAGGGCUCUGGGAGGUUUUGGGGAAUUCCAGGGUGAGGGGCUCUGGGAGCCACAAGGAUCUCAGGAGCCAAGUCCUGUCCCAGGUAUAUCCGGGGCUCCAAAUCCCUUCUCCUGCCGCAGGUCCCUGCAGAGAGAGGGGUGGGGACAAGGCCCCUCUUGUGUCCCAGUGGACACUGGGGGUCAUGAUUUGGGCUCUGUCUUUCAGGACUGGAACUGGUGGUGACACUCGCGUCCUGUCCCCCUCCAGCAGCAUGAGGAGAUGAUCAUCCCUGGAUAACCCCCCUGAUCCCCUGGGAGCCCUGGGAAUUUCCCUGGAGUAAUCAAUAAACCCCUACAGCAAAGCAACUCUGUGUGUCCCUGUGCGUGCUCCCGUAUCCAU
rnacentral:lncRNA from 1 species